rnacentral:rRNA from 1 species
GAUGAACGCUGGCGGCGUGCCUAACACAUGCAAGUCGAGCGGGAAUCUUCCGAAUGAAACUUCGGUCGAAUGAAGAAGAGGAUAGCGGCGGACGGGUGAGUAACGCGUAGGUAAGCUGCCCUACACACAGGGAUAGCCUAGGGAAACUUGGAUUAAUACCUGAUGACGCUGCGAGGUCACAUGUCCUUGCAGCCAAAGAUUUAUCGGUGUAGGAUGCACCUGCGUCUGAUUAGCUAGUUGGUGAGGUAACGGCCCACCAAGGCGACGAUCAGUAGCCGACCUGAGAGGGUGAUCGGCCACAUUGGAACUGAGACACGGUCCAAACUCC